AACGAACGCUGGCGGCAUGCCUAACACAUGCAAGUCGAACGAGACCUUCGGGUCUAGUGGCGCACGGGUUCGUAACGCGUGGGAACCUUCCCUUAGGUUCGGAAUAACUCCCCGAAAGGGGUGCUAAUACCGGAUAAUGUCUUCGGACCAAAGAUUUAUCGCCUUUGGAUGGGCCCGCGUUGGAUUAGCUAGUUGGUAGGGUAAAAGCCUACCAAGGCGACGAUCCAUAGCUGGUCUGAGAGGAUGAUCAGCCACACUGGGACUGAGACACGGCCCAGACUCCUACGGGAGGCAGCAGUGGGGAAUAUUGGACAAUGGGCGAAAGCAUGAUCCAGCAAUGCCGCGUGAGUGAUGAAGGCCUUAGGGUUGUAAAGCUCUUUUACCCGGGAUGAUAAUGACAGUACCGGGAGAAUAAGCUCCGGCUAACUCCGUG
rnacentral:rRNA from 1 species